AGUCGGUGGGGUUAAGUCUACAUUGCGAACGAUCGUAGCGGAUCGAAAGAUGAUCGCACACUGGAACUGAGACACGAUCCAGACUCUACCGGAGGCAGCAGUGGGGGAAUAUGGACAAUGGGCGCAGCUGAUCCAGCCAUGCCGCGUGUUGUGAAGAAGUCUUAUGGUUGUAAAGCACUUUAAGCGAGAGGAGGCUACUUUAGUUAAUACCUAGAGAUAGUGGACGUUACUCGCAGAAAUAAGCACCGGGCUAACUCUGUGCCAGCAGCCGCGGUAAUACAGAGGGUGCAAGCGUUAAUCGGAUUUACUGGGCGUAAAGCGCGCGUAGGCGGCUAAUUAAGUCAAAUGUGAAAUCCCCGAGCUUAACUUGGGAAUUGCAUUCGAUACUGGUUAGCUAGAGUGUGGGAGAGGAUGGUAGAAUUCCAGGUGUAGCGGUGAAAUGCGUAGAGAUCUGGAGGAAUACCGAUGGCGAAGGCAGCCAUCUGGCCUAACACUGACGCUGAGGUGCGAAAGCAUGGGGAGCAAACAGGAUUAGAUACCCUGGUAGUCCAUGCCGUAAACGAUGUCUACUAGCCGUUGGGGCCUUUGAGGCUUUAGUGGCGCAGCUAACGCGAUAAGUAGACCGCCUGGGGAGUACGGUCGCAAGACUAAAACUCAAAUGAAUUGACGGGGGCCCGCACAAGCGGUGGAGCAUGUGGUUUAAUUCGAUGCAACGCGAAGAACCUUACCUGGCCUUGACAUAGUAAGAACUUUCCAGAGAUGGAUUGGUGCCUUCGGGAACUUACAUACAGGUGCUGCAUGGCUGUCGUCAGCUCGUGUCGUGAGAUGUUGGGUUAAGUCCCGCAACGAGCGCAACCCUUUUCCUUAUUUGCCAGCGAGUAAUGUCGGGAACUUUAAGGAUACUGCCAGUGACAAACUGGAGGAAGGCGGGGACGACGUCAAGUCAUCAUGGCCCUUACGGCCAGGGCUACACACGUGCUACAAUGGUCGGUACAAAGGGUUGCUACCUAGCGAUAGGAUGCUAAUCUCAAAAAGCCGAUCGUAGUCCGGAUUGGAGUCUGCAACUCGACUCCAUGAAGUCGGAAUCGCUAGUAAUCGCGGAUCAGAAUGCCGCGGUGAAUACGUUCCCGGGCCUUGUACACACCGCCCGUCACACCAUGGGAGUUUGUUGCACCAGAAGUAGCUAGCCUAACUGCAAAGAGGGCGGUACCCCCCCGU
rnacentral:rRNA from 1 species